rnacentral:rRNA from 1 species
GACGAACGCUGGCGGCGUGCUUAACACAUGCAAGUGGAGCGACGAACCAGGCUUCGGCCUGGGGCAAAGCCGCGAACGGGUGAGUAACACGUGGGUAACCUGCCCCGAUGAUCGGGACAACCCGGGGAAACCCGGGCUAAUACCGGAUGUGCUCCCACCACACCAGUGGUGGGUGGAAAGGAAGCUUCGGCCUCCGCAUCGGGAGGGGCCCGCGGCCCAUUAGCUUGUUGGUGAGGUAACGGCUCACCAAGGCNGCGAUGGGUAGCUGGUCUGAGAGGACGAUCAGCCACACUGGGACUGAGACACGGCCCAGACUCCUACGGGAGGCAGCAGUGGGGAAUCUUGCGCAAUGCGCGAAAGCGUGACGCAGCAACGCCGCGUGGGGAAGAAGGCCUUCGGUU